rnacentral:rRNA from 1 species
UACGUAGGUGGCAAGCGUUGUCCGGAAUUAUUGGGCGUAAAGCGCGCGCAGGCGGUCCUUUAAGUCUGAUGUGAAAGCCCACGGCUCAACCGUGGAGGGUCAUUGGAAACUGGGGGACUUGAGUGCAGGAGAGAAGAGUGGAAUUCCACGUGUAGCGGUGAAAUGCGUAGAGAUCAGGCAGAACACCUGGGGCGAAGGCGGCCAGCUGGGCAGUUGCUGACACUGAGGCGCGACAGCGUAGGGAGCAAACAGG